GUCCUAGCUUAGGUAACACAUAUACUAAAAUUUGCAUGAUACAGAGAAGAUUAGCAUGGCCCCUGCUCAAGGAAUACACACAAAUUCGUGGAGCCUACCAUAUUUUU
ensembl:snRNA U6 U6 spliceosomal RNA